ensembl:lncRNA
CCGCCUCCCCCCAUUAGGGCUGCUCUCUCUCCGCAGCACUGCCUGAAUCCCAGGCGCCACAGUGCAGCUGCAAACUGCAUUAGCGUCGCGCCGCGGAGUCCCUAAUACAAUUAUGGGGCAGUAUUAGAGGUGCUAAUUGACAAACCCCUAAUCAGUGCCGGGAUUGAUGUCAAUCAGCCCAUGGACGGGGCGGGGCAGAGCCCUUCAUUCACAAAAAUUGCUUAAUGGAGGGGUCUGGGUUCUGUCUGCUGUCUCAUGGGCACGUCCUUGGGAUGGGAAAUAGGAGAAAGGAUGGCAAGGUGUGUGUGUGGGGGGGCAGGUGGGGUUUGCAGGCUGUUUUUUGGGGUGUUUAAGCCCUUUUUGGUGGCUUGAGACAUCACUGGAGGGGUUGCAUGGAAAAAAAGGGGGGGGAAAAGGAGGUUGUUCUCACCUGCCCACCCCGUAUGGAGGAUGCGGGCUGCUUUCCUGCCCUCGGCUGCAGCGCAAUUAAUUGGCAAUUACCAGCAGUCCAUAAAGCACGGCCGUUCUUGGGGAGGAAGCUGUAAAACCGCGCAUCUUCGGCCGCAUUUCCUUCACUCCUCAUCGAUCCCAUGGCCUCGGGGCGGUGCACCCGGCCGACCCCCAUCGAUCCCGUGGGAUUUCGGUGGGAUGUGGGCAAACAGUGAGGGCACAGCCCUGCGGGGCCCUGUGAGCAGCAGGUCCCGAUCCCAGGGCUGCUUUCUCUCCCUCUCCUUCUGUGCAAGUGCAAUGCCAUUACUGUGCAGGUGCAAAGCAGUGCAGGUGCAACACCGUGCAGGUGCAAAGCAGUGCAGGCGCAGUGCUAUUCAGAUGCAGUGCCACGCAGUCGCAAUGCUGUUCAGAUGCAAUGAUAUGCAGGUGCUGUUCUGUUCAGAUGCAACGCUGUGUAGGUACUGUGUUGUUCAGAUGCAAUGCUGAGCAGGUGCAAUGCUGUUCAGAUGCAACACUGUGCAGAUACUGUGCUGUUCAGAUGCAAACACUGUGCAGGCACUGUGUUGCUCAGGUGCAACGCUGUUUGGAUGUAACACUGUGCAGAUGCAAUACUGUGCAGGUACCGUGCUGUUCAGAUGCAAUGCUGUUCAGAUGCAACACUCUGCAGGUGCAGCGCUAUUCAGAUGCAACGCUGUUCAGAUGCAAUUCCCUUUGCAGAGCCCGCCCUGCUGCUGCACGGCGUUGCCCAGUGACUCUGAUGCUUGGAGCACGGCAUGCACGGAAGACCCUGCAGCUGGGAUGCAUGGAGCUGCUCAUGCAAAGCCACGUCCCACCUGUGUCACACUCACCUUUCCCAGGGGCGCGCACUGAUCUCAUUAGAACAGGAGCCGGGAAGUGGCUGCAUUUCCACCCCGCUGCUCUUGGUUAUCGCAGCGAAAGGGGAGCCAAUUACCAGCAGCUGGUGAGAGCCUCAAAUUAUUAUUAAUUUCAAACAAAGCAUAUGCUUUGUGUUAACAAUCCUCCGCGGUGUGGCAGAAGGGCCAACACCAUCCAGAUGGCUUCGACGUGCGGUGGGAAUGAAUAAUAUGCAGCUCUGCCACCGCGCCGGCGGUGUGUGGGGAUGGGGGGGGGGUGAGCAGCGUGGGGAGGGGACACAGGUAGCACCCGUGGGCAAAAAUCCCUGUGCAUGGCAGCUGGCAGCCUGCAGGCACUGCUGCAUGCAGGGCAGGGAUGCUGGCGGCCCUAUGGGGAUGCUGGCGGCCCUAUGGGG